AGCUUUUCAUUUUUGGCCUCCAAGCCAAGCAACUGCGUCCUCCAUCUCCCCUAUAAUUAAGAGGCCACCUUCCGGGAUCUUUAACCAAACAUACUCUUACAUACCAUCCCUUUUCAUCACCAUGCCGCCCCGGCCUGAACCCCGGCCACGCCCACCCGGCCCUCCGCCUCCUCGCCCGGAACCUCCCAGGCCCCCGCCGCCCCGGCCACGAACCGCCCACGGUCCCGCCGCCC
rnacentral:lncRNA from 1 species